rnacentral:lncRNA from 10 species
AAAGGGAACUCCUUGACCCCUUGUGCUUCCCAAGCGAGGCAAUGCCUCGCCCUUCUUCGGCUCGCGCACGGUGCGCGCACCCACUGACCUGCGCCCACUGUCUGGCACUCCCUAGAGAAAUGAACCCGGUACCUCAGAUGGAAAUGCAGAAAUCACUGUCUUCUGCGUCGCUCACGCUGGGAGCUGUCGACCGGAGCUGUUCCUAUUCGGCCAUCCUGGCUCCCCAUCAGUGGUGUCUUUCAUUAGAGAAAUAAAACUGUGAGACUGUGAAGUGUAUAAAGGAUUCUACCGCUCUCCCGGGGCUUGGAGACCCACAGAUUGGAGAAAUCUCCAUCUCAAUCUUCUUUGCCACGUCAUGCAUGCCCUUGAAGCAUUAGAAUUCCUUAAAGCUUCAUGGGAGAAUGCCAUGGGAUGAUGAAGACAGAGAUUGGAGUCAUGCAUCUGCAAGCCAAGAAAUGUACAAGAUUGCUGGCAAACCACCAGAAGCUAGGAGCAGACAAGGAAGGAUCCUCCCCUAAAGGUUUCAGAGGGAGCCAUGGCCUUGCUGACAUCUUGAUUUCAGACUUCUAUCCUCCAGAAUGGCCCUAUUCAUCCACUCCAGAAAUUACCUGGACUGCCGUGUUCUGACAUAGCCUGGUUCUCCACCAGUGGUCUCACCUAGUGCCCUUUGGCUCUGUUGGGACCUCUGAGGGUCUAUUUGAGGGCAUGAAUAUGGAAAAUUCAGCUCCAGCUCCUCCACCCCACUCCCUGAACAGCACUGCAGAACUGUGCUAAGCUCCUGUGGCUUGGAAAGAACAGAUGCAAGAGACAUAAUAAAUGCCUCCAAAUAACUUAGUCCUCAACCUGAAGCCAAAGUGAUUUCGGUGUACCAGGAUUGAAAUACUUCUGUAUUCACAACUGAAUGGAUAAACGGGCACUCCUUGUGGCUCCUCAUUGUAUGUCCCCUAGAGGGUCAGCAAGGCCAAGAAUUGGUUUGUGGAACAAAUAUCCAUUACUCCAAUCGGGGAUGAAAAAGAGUACACGCCAUGGAUUUUGCUCUCGGGAGUGAUUGAUUCAGCGAGUGAAAUAAGACCAACAUGCAUGGAAGGGUUGAUGAUGCUAGAAUCUCCCACACUUUGCCAGCCACAGGGAAGUCAAAUCAGUAUUGACUUUGUUAUUCAAAUCAGCACCAGACCGGUCACUUUUAGAAGUGAUACCAUGGGAGGCAAUUAAACCCAGGAAAAUGCUGAGCACUAGAGUGACCAUGCAAGAAGGGGCCUUAGAGAUAGAUCCUGUACGUCUUCACCUGUUGGUGCCAGGGCCAGAACAGAGGCCUGCAAGGGUAAGAGCAAGCUCAGCACCACAGAACUUGUAGGUAACAGAGCCGGGCUCAAGUGCACGCUUCCUGACUGCAAUUUCAACACUCCCAUUCAAGGUGAGAGUGAAAAAUAUUUUCCCCUAGGCUUUCCCCAGUGAUAUUCCCCUAUGCACCAGCAGAGCAUGAGGGUAUGAGACGAAGAUGCACAUCCUAGCCCUAGCUUUGCUACUGACUAGCCACGUGUGUUUGAGCAACUCACAAAACUUCUCCAGAUUUCAGACUCCUCAUUUGUAAAAUAAAGUCAUUUGAUUUGUCCAUUGCUCUCCAUAGUUCACCAAAGUGCCCCUCGUAGGAGAGUGGAAUGGAUGAUGUUUAGAGUAGAAGCUUGGAGAUGUGGCAAUAAGUGACCUUGUGCAAGUGAGAAAUGCACUCAAUAUAUUGGAAUUUGUCUGUCUUAAUAAUUUGUGUGGCUUCUACAUUUUACUUAGUAAUAUAUCUGUGUUUGCUUUCGGGUGAAAAUACUGUUUGAAAUGUCUUACUAUCCAUGAAACUUGGUUUACCAAAGAGGGCCUGUUUUCCCUGAGGUACAAGGACUAGAAGGUUUUCUGAGGCCACCCCCAGCCCCCAUUCAUUGAUUUCGUGUCUUAAGUUGUUUGUGUUUUUUAUUUUAUCACACCCUCCUAUUUCUGGUUCCCAGAAUGUAAGUAGUUCUCCCUCCACAAUGUUCAACAGUCCUCAAUAAUGCCCGGCUAUGUGAAGAUGGAAAGAUGAGGGAAAAUUAGCACCAUAAGCAGAGUCUGGAAAGGUACACAGACAUUUAACAGAUGGAAACAGGAGGGCUGCCAUUCUAGAAAGAUAUGAGGACUGCUCAUCAGCCUGGCUUCCGCUAGAGGAGAUCUAC